rnacentral:lncRNA from 1 species
GAUUUGAAAAAGAGGGAGAGGGAACUCCAAGCUAAAGAAGCUGAACUGAGAAAGUGUGAAGAGAUUGUAAAACGGAAAGAGGAUGCUGCAGCACGAGGUAUUAUGCCUUGCCUUUAUUUUGCUGAAAUAUCAGUAGUCUUCUCAUUGUUUGGGGUUAAAUGAAUAUGUUCAAAUGCCCAGCCAGCAGGGAGCUCGGUAAUUGGUGUUUGCAAAUAGACCAUCUCAAUCGUUGAAGCCUACUUGAAGGCUGAAGUCUCUUGUGGAAAUG